CCGUUCCCCAAUAUUUGGAAACGUCCCUCCGUUCGGUGCCCUCUCCUCCCUGCCCCCGACCCAAAGUUGUCCAUGCAAGGAAGUAAUGCAUAUGGCAGUUAAGAACCUAGAAAUGGAUUUUCAUAAAACUCUGCAUCAACUACUUGGAAAUUGUAUCCCUCUUAAUUUGAAGGCACAGGCUUGAUGGUAUCUGAAUGGUACUGAAUGACAGCUUUCGUAGGGUCGUGUCUACGAGGGCUGGUUCUCAAGUCACAGCGCCUCAACGCUAACAUUCUGUGUGACUUGGGCGACGUACUGAAGCUUUGUGCCUCUGUUUCCUCAUCUGCAAAAUAGGGAUGUGUACCGCUCUUUAAGAAUCACUUGAGGCGAUGUGUGAAAAACACCCGGCGUAUGGCAAACAGUGUAUCCAGAACAGAUUCAUAGGGUUGCAGUCUGGGAAGGGGGACCUGCUGGGUACCAUCUGCUUUCCACCAUUAAACCCAUCUUAAGGCCAUCGCAGAAGUCCUGAUGUCUCUGUAACGGAACAUGGAAUGCGCCAGGCUCUUUAGGUCUGUUCUUUUUGGCCUUGUGCCACACAACGGUGCCGUAUUCUCCUGCUUGGACUCGGGGCAGGACUUACUCCUACCAACGGGAUGUUCAGCGUGGGAUUUAAACAGAAGCUGCAAAUGUGCUUGCACCCUUGGGCUUAUCUGCUCUUCUACCCUGGUGUUGCCAGAUGAACGCGCCCCAGGCUGGCCUGCCGGAGGAUGAGAAAUGGGUAGACCGGCGUCGUGUGGCCCGGGUGGUCCCAGCCGUGGCCAAACACAGAUCAGGUAAGAGGCAGCCAACACCAGCCAUAUGAACAAGCCCAGCCAAGAUCAGAACGGGUCUGCUGACCCGCAGACUUGUGUACUAAAUUCAUGCUUAUUAUUUGAAGUCGUGGGCCAUUUGUGAUGUAGUUAUCGUGGUAACUGAUAGCUGAGAGGUUAAGCUAGUGGCAGACUGGCCCUCCGGGGACAGGAUCCAAAGGAACACUGAGCCCACUUGCACCACCUCCCAAGGCCUCUGGAAACUGACAGGGGAAGGAAGGAACCCUACUGUG
rnacentral:lncRNA from 1 species